CUUUAACAACCACUUUUUCAGAAUUUAUUGAAUCCAGAUCAAUAACAAAAUGAUACCAUUCAUUAAAGUCGUGGCUCUACAUAGCAGGUAGCAAAUUAUGUACCACAUAGACAAAAACCUAACUUUAAGUCAUGAGUUUAGGUUGACUCCAUUCUUCUUCUCCUUCUUCAUUAUUUUGGAGAAGCACGUCCGUUCCCAAUGCUCCAAAAUGGUACCACCCAGUACU
rnacentral:lncRNA from 1 species